UACGUAGGGACCAAGCGUUGUUCGGAUUUACUGGGCGUAAAGGGCGCGUAGGCGGCGCGGUAAGUCACUUGUGAAAUCUCUGAGCUUAACUCAGAACGGCCAAGUGAUACUGCAGUGCUAGAGUGUGGAAGGGGCAAUCGGAAUUCCAGGUGUAGCGGUGAAAUGCGUAGAUAUCUGGAGGAACACCGGUGGCGAAGGCGGCAUCCUGGACCGGCAUUGACGCUGAGGAGCGAAAGCCAGGGGAGCAAACGGG
rnacentral:rRNA from 1 species